rnacentral:lncRNA from 10 species
GUUUUAGGGCUACUCACUGAACACCUUCCAACUUCUAUGGCUGCUUGAAUACAAAUCUCUUCUCUGAGAAGACUCUGGAUAAACAUAUUCGACGACAGACCUUGGCAAGAACUGCAAAGAUGCUCUUGACAAUGGCAUGAAUAAAUAUUAGGUGUUAUCUAGAAUUCACCACAUUUGAGGUCGUGCGCAAAGCCAGAUCAAAGAGAAUGCAGAACAAUAGAAGCAAGAAGGAUCCCAAAUAUAGUGUUGCAACUCUCCUCACCUGCAGGAAGGGGUUGCCCAAGAAGCAUGACACCAGCAUCUGCUUCUGGUGAGAGCUUCAAGCUGUUCCCACUCAUGGUGGAAGAGGAAGAGGAACCAGUUGUGCAGAAAUAACAGCUAUACAUUUCCGAAGACAGAGAAGAGGAAAAAGGAGGGCCAUGGAAAAAGGCAAGAAGGUCCCGUGACCAAGAAAUGACCAGCUCCACAGAGGAAAUGCAGGGCCACUCUCCGACUGGACCCCACUGUGCACAAGGUGAGAAUUCAGCCUGUUUAUCAGGGUUUCCCUUAUUAAAGUAUAUGUCAAAAAGGCCUGGUAGAAAUGUAACUCUGUGAUGUUAAUUUUGGAAAGUCUCAUCUAGAACUUUCUGGGAAGUAUUUGAAAGCACAGUUGUGGAAUCAUUUGAAGACUCAAACAUAUAAAUUAAACACUCUUCUUGGAUACAGCAGUUAGAAUAUGGAACAGAUAGGGUCUACAUUGGAGAAAUGAGAGAUGUGGCAAGUGCUUAGCCUCUCUGAGACUCAGUCUCAAUGUCUCCAUCAGGGACAGCUAGCUAGCUCACGGAAUUAUUGUGAGGGUUCACUGUUAUAAUUUAUUCCAAGGUCCACUGCAGCACCGAGGACAUAGGUGGCACUCAAGAAGCAGUGGCCAGUAGUAUUCUCUGCUAAAAUAUUUGCCACCUCAGCCACUUUGAUUCUGCUCCAGAGGGCUUUUUCGCUCAUCCCAUUGGCGACACAAGGCAGGUUAACUAAAGAUACUCUCACCUAAUCUAAAAAUUCAAGACAUCAGUCCACAAAAUACCAGAAUCACCAUGGAGGCAGCUGUUUAGCACUUUGGAUAGUCUAUUUCUCCCCCUAAAAACAGCCUACUUAAAACAGGGGAGAGUUAAGGUUCCAGGAUCUUACUCCUGAGAUUUUUUAUUUAAAGAACACCCCAUCUUUACUCGCAGCUGAGAGGCUAAGAUUAAAAAUUAGCCACUGUAUAGUAGCUGAGCAGUGACAAUUUUUCAUAAAGGUUUUUAGUACACAUUUGGGAUUAUAAUUUCAAUAUUAUGCAAAUGCAUUUUAUGGAUCUAUAAUACAGAAUGUGUACUGGCGUUAAUGUGCAUUAGCAGGCGAGAAGAAAAGGCUCCAAAUGAGCCAUUUUGGUGUCUGCUUUCAACAUGUAUUAUGAAUAAUAAGUAAAAUGUUCUGGUUUAGAACAAAUAAUAUAAAAUCUGAAUUCUUCUUGAUGUACAUCAGUGACAAAGCCCUACGCAACUCCCAUGGAAUUAUUCCAUUGGACACAAUUUAAAACUGGCUCUUAAACAAUAUAUUCCUGUUUCUGGCUUCUCUUCUUGAAUGAGAUGUGAAAGUAAAAUAAAUAUAUUUAAUAUGAAUACGGGAUAGUUCCCCCCAUUGCUCAAAAUCAGGCAUGAACUAGAUGAAGGCAUUGGGAAGGCUGAAACACCAUAGUGGUCAAGAGAGUGGCCCAGGAUACUUGUAAUUUGAGAGGCUCUGAGUAUUGAAAAGUGAAGAAGCAUCUAAAUAGGGUUAUAUAACUUGCAUAUUUUCAAUGAAUAAAAUUAACAAAUAUAAUGCCUUUAACACAAAAUAUUUAAUACAAGAUGACUGUAUUAUUCUGAAGAUAUUUAAAUGAUGUGUAAGUAAUAUUUCUUAAUGUAAUGUGCUGCAAGCUUUGUUCCAAAAUGGGAACUUGAGUUGAAAUUUGUCUGAUGUCUAUUUUCUUUCAGCCUUGUCAGAGUGUUUCUGUGACUGCAGAUUAGAAUAAAAUUCUCACAAACUAAUUUGAGGCUUUUCGUAAAGGCAGAGGACUGAGCCAAACAACUAGCUUCUCAUGAUAGAGCCCCAAAAUGUUUCCUUUUUAAUUAAUAUUUCCAUGUUGCAAUUUUGCAUGUACAGAAGGUGGUAGCUGGUUAUUUUAGUAGUAAUUCAAACUUUCUAUUUGCAUUGAUUUAGUUAAGACUUUCAGAUCUAUUGACCCUGUUUCUUGAAUGCAUGUUUCACACCUGCCCCAUUCUUGGGCAGCCUGCAGGAAUACAAGAUCACACUGUCCAAUGAGUAUGGACUAAGCAUUCAGCUGAGUAACAAUAAUACAAUCAUCUUGUCUCUCAAACAGGUGCCCUUAACUUAAUGUUUUUUAAAAUGCCACCACGUCCAUGACAUCUUCAAAAUGAUACUAAAAAUAUCCAUGCGAUGAGUUCUGUGUGUGUUAAGUGUUUUAUAUGCAUUAUCUCAAUUGACUUCCAAAGCAACCUCACAAGGUCAGUUUUACAAUCCCCAUGAAAUGGUUGAAGAAUUUGGAGUCUAAAAAGACUAAGUAAUUUGUACAAAAUCACAAUUAUACAGGUCUAAUUUUGCAACCCAAACUCUUGACCAGUAUAUAACCCUGAAUCCAGUAUUAAUGUAGUAGAUAAUUGUCUUGGCUUAAUUUAUCAUAUAAGUUAUAGAAAUGGUGUUUUGUCCUUACUCUGACAUGGGGACUAUAAUUGACACUAAAAUCUGAAUCAAUUUCAACCAGUCAUUGCUUCACUUCACUACUUGUCUACAUUGCUGCAGUUGGUUGCUGCUUUCCAUUUCCCCCGAUGCUUUUCCAUUCGAGAUGGAGGUCUGUGGAAGGAAAGAUGGAUACAGCAAGAGGGUCUAUCCAAGAACCCAAUAAAUAUGUACUGCAUAAAUAAAUCAGAUGUUUUAAAUUUGGCAAUUUAAAUUCAGCAAAAAGUCUUUGACAACCUGUGGAGUGUAAGCUAUGGUUUCUAUCCUUGCAACCUUAAAAUUUCAAAAAGCCCCAAAUUCAAGCUUAUCAGUAGCAAGGAAGCCCUUCCAAAUAUUAACUUACAAUCAAUAUUGGAAAAAACUGAGUAGUAUAUUGUGUCCUAUUUUGAAAACAAGCUAUUUGCCAUGUGUAGAUAAGAUUCCUACACUAAAGAUAUCUUUUUAAUAGUUGAAAUAUGAGAUGCCGAGUAAUAAAACUUGAAGUACAGUGGAGCAGCUCUGAGAGAACAAGUGGCACAUUGCCUUGAAAUAAUACUCUCAACGCCAUUUGCUGAGUCUUCUAUGCUCUUGGCCCUUUGCACAAUCUCACUUAAUCUUCACUGCACCCUGUAAGGUAAAUAUUAUUAUCUUCAUUUUACAGAUGAGGAAAUUGAAGCUUACAUAAAUUGUCUGAGGUCACACAGUUAAUAAGUGGUUGAAUGUGGAUUUAAUUCGAGGUCUGCUUUAUUUCAAAGUGAUUCAGUGAGUGAGACAGAGAGAAACAAAGAGAAGACAGUGGUUUUUAAAGAAAGAAUGAAUCUCAAUUUUCUGAAACCCUAUAGCAAUUCCUGCCUUUCUUGUGGCUCUUACCAUAUUCUGCUGUUAUUUCUGGAUUUCUUAUAUAACCUUUACUGAAUUAUAAGCUAUUCUAUUUGAGAGAAGAGACCACACACAAACCAUUUCUGUAUUCCCCCAGGACCUUGUUCAGUGCCUGGAACAAAGUAGGUAUUCAAGAUACCUUUCACUUAUUCCUCAUAUAUUUGCUGGGUGUGGUUAAGCCCAGUAAAGAAGACAAGUCAUGCCUUCCAGGAGCUUCUAGCUCAGGGGAGAAAGUGAUUGAAGACCCAGUGUUCUAAACUGGGUGUGGCACCACAGUGAUGGGAAGUAGGGGAAGCCAAGGGGAAGCUGACUGACUGGUGGGCUCAACCAAGGUUUCCCGAGGAAGAGGUCAUCCAAAACCAUUCUUGAAGCUUCAGUAAGAGCCAAGCAAAGAGGGUGGGGAAAGCCUCACAAAGCGAGAAGGAUCAGGAAUGCACAAAGGCCCUGAAAUUAGAGAUAAGCACAAAGCCUGUUUCCAAGGAUUACAAAUCACCUGGAGAUUACUGGAGGACAAGAGAAAGGGGAGAAACAGCAAGACAGAAGGUGGCAAGGUAUCCGCUGUGAAGUCUAGAAGGACUGUGUACACCAUGCCUGCUCAAUGUGAAGAUGACGAGGAUGAAAACCUUUAUGAUGAUCUACUCCUAUUUAUGGAGGAAGACCCAGUGGGCUUUUACUGUAGCUGGAACAUUAGACACCAAAACGCAGCCCUUUGCUAGAAGAUGCGUCUUUGUGUUUGCUGAAUGUGAGAGGGAUGGUGGCACAUUCUAUAUUAACCAGAAAAAUGUUCCUGAUGAUAGGACCAACUUUGAUGUCCCUCGGAUCUAGGAGCCAGGCUUAUGGCUGGAGCAGCAACAAUAUUAGGUGUUGAUUAUGGAGUCACUCAGGGACCACCAGAAGCUCAGACUCUCCCCAGAGGCUACCUUAUGUGUGGGGGCAAUUUAGGCCCUUCUUCCCUCUCUCCCUGUCAUGAUCUUCUUCACUAACCAAUUGAGGAACCUAUAAUUAAUAUCAUUUUUCACUGUUUGGCUUAAUGCUUUUAAGCCCUGUUAAAAUGCAAACAAGAUAUCUGGAAAAGUUGAUAAGGAGAUAUGUGAACAUUCAUUGACAUCUCGGCAUGCAGCAGGUUCUCAACUUAGUCAAAAUUACGGCACUGAGUAGGAUGAACUGGAACAUCAGGGCAGGCAGCACAAAUGAUGGGAAAAUGAAGUGUUGCUGAGAGAACAUCCUGAUGGCCAGGAUCACUAUGUACGAAAUGCAGGGGUAUACAGAGAGGAUUGGGAAUGAUUCUCAAUGGUGACUAACAUUUGUAGAAUUCACCUGUGAGGGCAGGCAGUACUAUCAUUAUCCCCACUUCCCAGAUGAGAAAACUGAGGCCCAGAGAUGUUAAGUAAAGUAACUUGCUCAUCAAGUUUACCCAGCCAGUGUGACAAUUUAUACUACGGAAUUGGGUGGGUCUAAAAGCUAAUUUACCUUAGUUCAGAAUUUAGCCUGAGGCUGUCUAGGAAUAACAGAUCUUGCUUUGCUUAAAGCCAUGAUGUUAGAUUAAUUGAUAUUGUGACCCUUGGCAAAUAUCAAAGUUUCGUGGAAUUCUCUAUAAUAAAGACUCUAGACUUUAGAAAAGUCAAUUCAAAACACUAAAGUUAUUCCUUUAUUCCUACUGUUAUCCUAUUCUGUUCCUUAGCUCACAAAGGAAAAAAUAAUCCCCUAUUGACCUCCAAAUUUAGCAUUCAUUUGAUUUCAUUUAUACAUUUAAAAUAGAGAAGAAUUAAAGCAACCUUAUAAAUUAUAUUUUAAUAAGAAUAUUGAUAUCUGAAAAGCUAGCAACCCAGAGAAAUGUUUUUCUUGCUUGACUUAGAUAAUAUUUUCAUCAACAUAAGAAAAACAAAUUGAGCCCCUAUGAAGUAUAGGGUGUGCCCUGGAUUUUAGAUGGUUGCCUAAUUUUCCUUUUCAUGUCUGUUAAAAGCCAAGUUUAAUUUGGAGCUAUUUCUCAAGAAGGGUGAGCAGCUGUGAUUGAUUUAUUUGAAUACUUUACAACAUUUAAAAAUAGUUUUUCUAAUUCACCAGAGAAUUAUUAAAUCCUUGGGGCUGUAUGCUCUCUUUUGUAGUCUUAGGUUCUCUCUCAUGCUUGGACAAUUCUAGUGUCUUUGCCAACAAUAGCUACUUUUUCUUGCACACCACUAAACUAAUCAUUGCAAAAGGUCAUUGUUGUGACAUCAUUCUCCUGUCCCAAACUGUCAGUGGCUCUUCACUUCCUCCCAAGUAAACUCUGUGUCAGAGCCUCCACCAUCUGGGUGCUGUUUACUAUUCAAUACAUAUUUCCCACAGCUUUCUGGGCAAGCCCACUGUGCCUGGCACUGUCUCUGAUCUCCAUGGUGCUGCACGUCUGGCCACCACCCUUUCCUCCCCUCCCUUAGUUAUUUGGCCUCCAAUGCCUUUACCAUCUCUCCAGCCUCCUCCCACGCACUCCCCACAUCUUUGAAAUCUUUUUCUUUUCUUUUUUAAUUCCAGCUCUUUUCCUCUCUAAAACUCAAGAUUUGACAUUUAUUCUAGAAUCAUAAAAGGCUAGAACUCACGGGGACAGGAGUGGAGCUAUCUGUCAUUUUUAAAUAUAGCUUCUCUCAAUCUUUAUUUAGUGGACUUGCUCUGGAUUAGGGAUGAGAAGACCUGACUCUACUGUUUUCUUGAUAAGUGACCUUGAACCAGACACAUGUGCUCAAGUUCCAUAUCUGUAAAAUGAAGAUACCUGGCCUUCCUACUUCACAAGGUUCUUUUGAAGAUCAAAUGUAAUACUGCAUAAUAAAGUGACUCAUAAAUUCUUUUUUUUUUUUUUUUUGAGAUGAAUUCUCACUCUGUUGCCCAGGCUGUCAUGACCUGGUGCAAUUUCAACUCACUGCAACCUCCGCCUCCAGGGUUCAAGAGAUUCUCCUACCUCAGCCCCACCGAGUAGCUGGGAUUACAGGCAUGCACCACCACUCCCGGCUUUUUUAUUUUAUUUUUAUUUUUUGUAUUUUUUGUAUUUUUAGUAGAGAUGGGGUUUUGCCAUUUUGGUGAGGUUGGUCCUGAACUCCUGACCUCAAGUGACCUGCCCGUCUUGCCUCCCAAAGUGCUGGGAUUACAGGAGUGAGCCUCUGCACCUGGCCUGACCCAUAAAUUCUAAAGUACUAAGUGAUGUCCUCAUAUAUAGCACAGUCCCUCCAGCCCCUGCAAUUCAAAGAUACAUCUCACUGUACUUAGGAGAGUUAGAGUAGAGGCAUGACCUAACUUGUUAGCUGUUUAUCUCCUAUAGAAAGUGGUCAACAGAUCUUUGUUGGUAAAAUGAAUGAAUAUUCAUUUCUUAUCUUUCAAUGAGAAUGUGAUAACUUUGGUUAUUGAUGUAUACUUCCGUGCAAAUUUGCUCAUGCAAUUUCAACCACAUCCCCCAGAACAACUUUCUACCAUGCUAAUUGCUCCGAACAUUUAAAUACCAGCAUAGGAAUGGAAGCUACUGACUGUUAACAUUUCUCACAUUUAGUUGCUGAAUGCCUCUCACAUUUACUUACUGAAUGUGUGCUUUAGACCAUCUUAAAAAUAUAAUAGUAUGUCUGAUAAAGAGGCCCAUCAGUCCUCAAAAUGUCUUCAUCUUUUAGUGUUGAAACAAUAAUGAUGAUUUGCUUCAUUUGUGCUCUACACACCAAUGAGAUGAGCUAACUGCAUAUCUACUAUGAAAUAAUGUCUAUUAUUACAUGGAUAACUACCCAUUAACUCCAUUGGAAACACUGGUAAUUACACAGUAUGUUACGUUAAUGCACCUGUGUUAGCUUCUGAUUGCCAUAUUAUUAAUUCAAGUGACCUCUUGAAUUAAUUCAAGUUUCCCAUCAUCAUUUUCUUAUUCUGGAACUCUCUAACACUUUAGAGACUGUUGGCUAAACAAUAAAAGUAUACAGUGAAAACUAUUUUCAAAAAAAAGAGGAUCUGAUGUGUGAUCCCAUUGAUGUUUGUUGUUGUUUUUCACUUCUUUGCUUGACAUAUAUAAACAACUUUAGAGCUAUAUUCUGUUACCUUCUGUGCAAAAUUAGAACAAUUUUCACUUUGUGAAGAGUUGCAGAAAGAUUUGACCUUUAAAAACUCUGAAACACGUCUGGUUCACAAACAGAAUCACAUCUUAAAAGCCCUAAGUUUGCUCUAAAAGUGUCAAUCAAGUUUUCAGCACACUAACACACGUAAUAAUGAAAGGCUUGUAUUUGCUCCUAAAACCCAAGUUGCCUCCCAGUCACUCUGCAUCUGGUUACACCAAACUUAACUUUUCUACAGUCCAUCUAGUCCUGACCUUCCCCUCUUCUUACGAGCCCCCAUUUAACCAAAGCAACUCCAGCCCAGGAGAUGAAAACCCCAUCAGCAUUUUCAUAGUUAAUGACAGGGCUACAAAACAGAAAAUAACAGCGGGAAUCUGAAGCCAGUGCUUUUAUUGGACUAACUAACGAUAUAAAUAAAAUGGUCCCUGACUGAGCUUUGGAGAAUCACUGUCUCUUUAUCAGGCCAUAGAAAACAGAUCCAGGAGGGCAAUAAAUACAGCACAUAACAGAGUGGAAUUAAAUGAUUAGGCCUGAAUUAACACCCUGUUUCUGAGCCUCACUUAGUGUUCCAUGGCCCCAAUGAAACACUGCAAUUCACAAAUGCUCAAGGCCCAUUUAAUUUUUAUUUCAAGCUAGUUCAGAAGAAGGGAUUACCUAUAACUCCCCCCUAUUCCAUUGUGUAACUCUCGAAGUAACAACACUGAUCCUGUCUAGAUAGCUGUUAGGAAAAUAGGCUGUGCUAUAGGAAACACAGAGUCUAUUCAGAAUCCUGCCUCUACAAAAAUCACAUUAAUUCAAAGGGACCAAAUCCCUCUCUGUGAAAGUGACAAGGCUGUCCUUGAUGGGAAAAUAAUGAAUUAUUAGUUAAAUAAACUUGAUUAUUUUCCAUGACAUUAACAACAAACCUAUGCAACUGUCAGCCCAAGAUUUUUACUUUUUGAACUGUGGCUUUAGCAUGCCAAAGAUCCUAAUCAAGUCUUAACUGCAAAAUGGAAUUGAAUCUCACCUUGGAGGGUAAUCUAUGGAGGCCCAUCCCCCAUUACACCAUAUGUCACAGGAUAAGGUGGAUGAGUUUCACUUAAACCCUGUUGGCGGGGAGUUAAUAUUGUUCUAUACGUCUUCAUUUAUACAAUGGCUUUAGAGCAAGAAAUCCAAGGAUGGCAUAAGAGGAAGGCUUCACUGUAGCAGUGAAGUACUUAGAAAUUUUAGACGAAAUAUGCAGCAGAUGAAACUGAGUCAUUAAAACCACUUGUAUACCUGUGACUUGAAGUGAUGUAUGAGAUGGAGAUAUAUUUAGAAGGCAAGGUCCUCAAGAGGUAAGAGAGCUUGCAGUUUUGAGCACUUAGUAGAUGCUGUGUGCUGGUUUUUAUUUUUCCUCAUUUAAUCCUCACACUGUCCUAUAAAGUUGACAUAAUUAUUCCUGUUUACAAGUAAGGAAACUGACCCUCAAAGAGGAGUGUAAUAAUUGCCCAAGUUCACACAGGAAGUGGUAAGGCUGAGAUUCAAAUCCAGAUCUAGCUGAUUCCAAAGCCAGCCCUUUCCGUCAAUACUAUGACUGUCACCUGCUUAGAACUCCUGACUGCUGCCUGGAGCUUUUACUUGGGAUCUUCUAGAAUAACCAAAGAAACAACACACAGAAGAGGAUGAGACUAAUGAAGUAUAGUCUCAAACAGUAGGAAAAAACCCCAAGGGCUUUGGCACUGGAUGAGAUUAACUCUUAUAAAGCCCCAGGAGAUCCAGACAUUCAGUGAAUUAAGGAGCCCUCCUCUGAAAUUAAAUGAACCUGCCUGUCCAAAACUGCUUCCGAGUGUCAGCCAUGGCGUACAUGGGGUCCAGACUCUAUCAUCACCCUGAAAGGGCACCUUGAGCCUUGACUGAAGUAGAGCAGGGAGGAUUCUUCCACAUUUUCAAGAGUAUGAGGUUUGACCACACCCAAGUUUACCCUACCAGUCGGUUCAGCAUAGCGUGUAGCUGUGUAUGGGACAGAAAGGGACACCUAUUAGAUGGAACCUUCUGCCCCAACACUUUUGUACUACAAAAUAACUGUAAUUGUGGCUCAAAUUUAUGCUUAAGUAACUUCAGUGAAACAAUAACACACACAUAACUCUCAGAAAGCAAUCUUACUCAAAAGGCUUGGGCACUGAUACAUUGUGAAGAAAUUACACAAUAUGAAUUUUUUUUAAAAAGGUAAUCACUAGAAAGUUUACAGAUGAUAGAUUCAUGUUAGCAAAAGAGUGUUAAGUAUCUGUUGAAUUACAACUAGACACUUAUGGAAAGUGUCUAAUUUCACUUUCUCUGCACUAUCUUUCUGUAUUACCAGUACCCAAUAAAUUAAAUGCUUUUGACAUUCAAUCAAUAUUACAUGGUAAUAAUCACAUCUUUUCAUUAAAAAGGAUAAAUUCCUUAAAAUUUUAUGUUUUAAGAAAAGGUCUUUGUUUACCAAAAGGGAUAGCAAAAUGAUUUAAGUGAGUUUAAUUUGAAUUAUUAAUUUUUUGUUCCUCGGCCAGCAGUUCUUCAGCAAAGGUCUAGAUUAUGGUGAUUGUUCUUGGUUGUGGUUUUUUAACAGUAAUGACAAGGCCCUUGAUAUCCUCUGGCCUUGACUUAGACACAAUUGCAGGCCUCCUUUUCACCUUUAGUUUUAGUAUUAAGGAAAAUCUAUCUCACUGUCAGGAAUAAAAGCCAGACUAUGUCUUUGAAUUUGAGUCCUUGUCUACUUGACUCCACAGCAAGCCAUAGUUUUAAGCAGCUUUUUUGGGAGAUAGGACCACGUGAAGCAUCUGCCAUGCCCAUUUGCUUAUUUAAGUACUUGUUUUUGUAUUUUGAAAGCAUAACUUCAGUUUAAAAAAUCCACAUAAAAAUGGGGUAAAACUUGGAACAAAAUUAUGGACUACCAGAGGUUUUCACUUACAACUGGCUACAGAAGCAGAGUGCAAUGCAAUCACAAAGAAUUAUUCCUUUAAAAUUGUGAGGUAUCACAUCUGCAUUUUUGAGUGAAUAGCUGACUAUGAUAAAGAGACCAGUUUUACCUUUGUAAAGCUGUAUGUCUCUUCCACGAAGUAGUUCUUUCAUCUAACAUGCGGAUUGCAAUAACUUACAG